rnacentral:lncRNA from 1 species
CUGUGCAUUUUAUGCAAUUGCAUAUUGGUCCACGAUUGCUACGCACCGUUUUAGGAGGCGGGUUAUUUCCAUUCUAACCCCCCGAAUAUAAGGCGUGCUUCACAAUUUGGUCCUUCAUUCCGUUUUAAUUGCAUUCUUUUGUUUUUUUUCCUCUCUUUUGACUUUUUUUUUUAGAUCGUUAUUAUUGUAUUAUUUAUUAUUAUUAUAUUUACCUAUAUACGCAUAUGCAUUUUAUAUACAUAUGUUACAUAUUUUGCUAUUAUUUAUUUUCAUAGUUUUAUGCAUAUAUAUGUGCACGUACACUAUCUGAAAAUUGUUGUAAAUAUACUUUUUCUACAUUUUUAAUAUAUACAUGCAUUCUUAU